rnacentral:rRNA from 1 species
GCCUAGCCGUAAACAAUUAAUUUACACUAAUAAACGCCAGGGAACUACGAGCCAUGCUUAAAACCCAAAGGACUUGACGGUGUCCCAUUCCCCCUAGAGGAGCCUGUUCUAUAAUCGAUGACCCCCGCUAUACCUAACCAUUCCUCGCUUUAUCAGCCUGUAUACCUCCGUCACAAGCUUACCAUGUGAACGUCAACAGUAAGCCUAAUGGUUAACCUAAACCAACAUGUCAGGUCAAGGUGCAGCUUACGAAAUGGAAAGUAAUGGGCUACAAUUUNUAACGUANAACAUAACGGANGGCUAUGUGAAACCAUAGCAUGAAGGCGGNUUUAGUAGUAAAAAGAAAAUAGAGUGUUCUUUUUAAUGUCGGUUCUGGGACGCGUACACACCGCCCGUCACCCUNUGAGUCAA